rnacentral:rRNA from 1 species
GGUUCGAUCAUGGCUCAGAUUGAACGCUGGCGGGAUGCUUUACACAUGCAAGUCGAACGGCAGCACGGACUUCGGUCUGGUGGCGAGUGGCGAACGGGUGAGUAAUGUAUCGGAACGUGCCUAGUAGCGGGGGAUAACUACAGCGAAAGCGUAGCUAAUACCGCAUACGCCCUUCGGGGAAAGCGGGGACCUUCGGGCCUCGCACUAUUAGAGCGGCCGAUAUCGGAUUAGCUAGUUAUGGGGUAACGGCUCACUACAUGACGAUCCGUAGCUGGUUUGAGAGGACGACCAGCCACACUGGGACUGAGAUACUUGGCCCAGACUCCUACGGAGGCAGCAGUGGGGAAUUUUGGACAAUGGGGAAACCCUGAUCCAGCCAUCCCGCGCGUGCGAUGAAGGCCUUCGGGUUAGAAGCACCUUUGGCAGGAAAGAAACGGCACGGGAUAUCACCUCGUGCAACUGACGGUACCUGCAGAAUAAGCACUGGCUAACUACGCGCCAGCAGCCGCGGUAAUAAUGUGGUAAGUAAGCGUUAAUCGGAAUUACUGGGCGCAAGCGCAGGCGGUUCGGAAAGAAAGAUGUGGAAAUCCCAGAGAGCUUAACUUUGGAACUGCAUUUUUAACUACCGAGCUAGAGUGUGUCAGAGGGAGGUGGAAUUCCGCGUGUAGCAGUGAAAUGCGUAGAUAUGCGGAGGAACACCGAUGGCGAAGGCAGCCUCCCGGGAUAACACUGACGCUCAUGCACGAAAGCGUGGGGAGCAAAUGAGAUUAGAUAAUUUGCAGUAGUCCACGCCCUAAACGAUGUCAACUAGCUGUUGGGGCCUUCGGGCCUUGGCAGCGCAGCUAACACGUGAAGUUGACCGCCUGGGGAGUACGGUCGCAAGAUUAAAACCUGUUAGAAUUGACGGGGACUCCGCACAAGCGGUGGAUGAUGUGGAUUAAUUUGAUGCAACGGCGAAAAACCUUACUCAUCUUUGACAUGUCUGGAAUCCCGAAGAGAUUUGGGGAGUGCUCGCAAGAGAACCGGAACACAGGUGCUGCAUGGCUGUCGUCAGCUCGUGUCGAGAUGUUGGGUUAAGUCCCGCAACGAGCGCAACCCUUGUCAUUAGUUGCUACGAAAGGGCACUCUAUCGAGACUGCCGGUGACAAACCGGAGGAAGGUGGGGAUGACGCCGCGUCCUCAUGGCCCUUAUGGGUAGGGCUUCACACGUCAUACAAUGGUCGGGACAGGAGGGUCGCCAACCCGCGAGGGGGAGCCAAUCCCAGAAACCCGAUCAGUCCGGAUCGUGUCUGCAACUCGACUGCGUGAAGUCGGAAUCGCUAGUAAUCGCGGAUCAGCAUGUCGCGGUGAAUACGUUCCUGGCCUUGUACACACCGCCCGUCACACCAUGGGAGUGGGUUUUACCACAGGAAGUAGUUAGCCUAACCGUAAGGAGGGCGAUUACCACGGUAGGAUUCAUGACUGGGGUGAAGUCGUAACAAGGUAG